CCUACGGGAGGCAGCAGUGAGGAAUAUUGGUCAAUGGACGAGAGUCUGAACCAGCCAAGUAGCGUGAAGGAUGACUGCCCUAUGGGUUGUAAACUUCUUUUAUAUGGGAAUAAAAUGUUCCACGUGUGGGAUUUUGUAUGUACCAUAUGAAUAAGGAUCGGCUAACUCCGUGCCAGCAGCCGCGGUAAUACGGAGGAUCCGAGCGUUAUCCGGUUUUUUUGGGUUUAAGGGGAGCGUAGGUGGAUUGUUAAGUCAGUUGUGAAAGUUUGCGGCUCAACCGUAAAAUUGCAGUUGAAACUGGCAGUCUUGAGUACAGUAGAGGUGGGCGGAAUUCGUGGUGUAGCGGUGAAAUGCUUAGAUAUCACGAAGAACUCCGAUUGCGAAGGCAGCUCACUGGACUGCAACUGACACUGAGGCUCGAAAGUGUGGGUAUCAAACAGGAUUAGAUACCCCAGUAGUC
rnacentral:rRNA from 1 species